AAAAUGAUAAAAGUUUUAUUCUAGCUUUUAGAUUUGGUCCUUCUUUUUUUAUACAUGCAAAUUUUAGUGUGAUUCCAAGUAAAUUUUAAUAGUUUAUUCAUUUGGAUUUAUUCGCAGUGUUUAUUAUUAAAUAUUUAAGAAAUUAAGAUUUAGAAAUAGGAGCUAGCUUUGACAAAGUUUGUGCCAGCAGUUGCGGUUAGACAAACAAAGUUACUAAAUCAUUUUGGUUAGUAGUGAGACAAGGAAAAAAGAUAAUAAUGAAAAUUUUAAGUUAGGAGGUGAAAUUUUAACUUUAACGAUUUUUUAUAUAUUUGUUUGUGAUUCUAUGAAAUUUUUUUUUAGACUAGGAUUAGAUACCCUAUUAUUUUAAAUGUAAAUUUUUAUACCUGGUUAGUAAUAGUUAUGUUCUCGAAAACUAAAGAUUUUGGCGGUAUUUUAGUCUUUCCAGAGGAACCUGUCCCGUAAUUGAUAGUCCACGAUUAAUUAUACUUAUUUUUAGUAGUUUAUAUAUCGUCGUGGUUGAAUAUUUUAGAAGAAUUCUUAAUGUUCAGGAUAUUAUAUUAGAUAAGAAAUCAGAUCAAGAUGUAGCUUAUAGGUAAGAGGAGAUGGGUUACAAUAAAUUUAUUUAAAUGGAUUGGGUCUUGAAUAUGACUCAUGAAGGUGGAUUUGGAAGUAAUACUUAAAAUAUAUUAGGUAUGAUUAAGCUCUAAAAUAUGCACAUAUCGCCCGUCGCUUUCAUUUAAAGUGAAAUAAGUCGUAACAAAGUAGGUGUACUGGAAAGUGUACCUAGAA
rnacentral:ncRNA from 1 species